rnacentral:tRNA from 1 species
CAUUAAGUAACUUAAAGAUAAGUAUUAGUCUCUUAAACUAAAUUAUAGUAUGUUAACGUAUACUCUUAAUGA